UAGUAGGGUUGAAGAUGCCCUU
rnacentral:snRNA from 1 species